CGCAGGCCGACGCUCUAUCCACUGAGCCAAACCGGUUUCGGCUAUUUUAGUACUUUUUAGGUAGUAGUAUUGACAUCUCAGAUAAAGAUCUGAUCGUCAGUUUACAGGAGUAUAUUUGAUGUUUGUAAAAAGGCAAACCAGAUCCAGUUAAGAUUAUGCUAAAGAAAGUAUACAUUUCCAUCCUUUAAGUUAGUUUCUCUCACACAUCUUAAAAACAACAUAAAUUUCCAUAGUUUCCUUUUUGCACGUAACUAGGAUGUCAUUGAAAAAAUGGAUGGAACUUCUCUACUGUCCAGCCCUCCAGAAUAGUCAUCGGAAUAUUCUAGAAAGAUGAACAUGAUACUCAAAAGCCAUUUUAUUCCUAAAAUUCUUGAAAUGUUUUGAAUUUGUUGUUAUUUCUGGGGCUUUGAGAAAAACUGGGUUUAAGUUUUAACAUUUUAGUAAAUAGUUAAUAAAAGCAAGAGUAGGUUAUGGCCUGGCAAUCCAUUAAGUUUUAAAGGGGCUGUUAGUGCUUUGAAUAAAAAUCCCUCAAUGCCUCAACUCUCUAAACAGCAAUUUGCAUUUAUUAGUUACGUAAACUACAGUCUCUUCAAAUCAUUAAUUGCCUACAUUUAAUCUAAAAAUAGUCAAACUACUAAUACCCUUUUGAUAUGGAGAGGAGCCUUUUCCUUUGGGUAAUUUUUAAAAUUGGAAUUUUCUUACUGGCCCAGUCAUUACUCCACUUCCACACCAAAACAUGCAGAUGGUAGGGUUAGCCAGUUUAGCAUUUGAGGUGUUUUUUUGUUUUUUUUUUUUUUAGGUUACUCUAAUCUCCAGGGUGUGUUUUUUACCUAAUACUAUUACCACAGGUACAUGAAAACCUUUAGGUAGUUGGGAAUGGCUAACAAAGAUGACUAUGCACUUACACUAAGGAUAUACUCUCACAUCCUAUCCAAUUGACGAUAAAUAUAGGUGGUUGAAUAUCUUUAAUUUGCCCAACGAACUAUAAGGGCUAGUAGAUUGGAAAUAGGUGAGAAAUGUUAACCUAUAAUUACUCAAAGAAUGUAAAUAUCUUGUGUGAUUAAGUUGGAAAGUGCUGUCCAUGUGGAAAGCCAGAUAAGUUCAUUUUUUUUUUCAGCAUUAUGUAGAUAGGUGGUUUUAGGCGAUUGCAGAUCCAGUAUUAGAGGAAUGAAUGGUGCAGGUAGCUGAUAGCCCAGAACCAUGGUCGGCAAACUGCAGCUCGCGAGCCACAUGCAGCUCUCUGGCCCCUUGAGUGUGGCUCUUCCACAAAAUACCACGGCCUGGGCGAGUAUUUUGAAGAAGUGGCGUUAGAAGAAGUUUUAAGUAUAAAAAAUUUGGCUCUCAAAAGAAAUUUCAAUCGUUGUACUGUUGAUAUUUGGCUCUGUUGACUAAUGAGUUUGCCGACCACUGGCCCAGAACAUCCGUAAUCACUGCUUGAUUAGGUUGGACAAGGAACAUGACCAUGUGUUUAAUCUGUAAUUACCUCAUUAUUACUUAGGAAUAUUAUUUCCUCCCUUUCUAUGCCAAGAGUCACCAGUAACUUGCAACUUGACAAGGAACAGGGGUUUUACUUUUGACAAAGCUGAAUCUGUGGGUAUGAGCAGCUAUACUCUAGUCAGGUAGUGAGGUGAUGACAUUCGAGACAAAUCGAGAAAUGCAAGCAAGGUUCAGCCCCUUAUUGUGGCUGCUCCUGUGGCACAGCAGUCACUCCUGAGUGUCCAGCUCGAGUGUCUGCAAACUGGAGGAAUGCAGGGAUUAUAGGCUAGAGAGGCUGACAUAGCAUCUAGCUGAUACACACAGCUAUUUGUGGCAUGUUCUUUCCUGCCGUUCCUUUAACAGUCCGCCAUCGCCCAGGAGGUAAAAUUAGUUUUGUCCAGUAAACCUAUGCUGGCCAAGCACUUGAGAGGCAUUGCCACAAAUUACUACCAGCCAGAAAAUUUUUAGGUAAAAACAGUAUAGACAUCUAAGUUGAGGGACACAAGCUUUAAAAUGUUAAGGCAUCUAGAGAGAAGAUGAGAUAAAACCAAUACUUCAGAAUGAUUGGGGCUUAUGUAAGUGGCAGCUAACAGAGAUUACUUUCUUAAGGUAGCUAUUAAGGUGUUUCAUAACAGUUAAGGGAGAUACAGGAGUCCUGGUUAAGUACAAUAUAAAAGGUUCCAACUUCACUAUUUUUUUCUUUUAAGUAAUAAAAAAAUGUGCUGAUUUAAAUUUCAUCUCCUUUUCCUUAGUCUGUCCAUGUGAAAGUGCUGUGUGGAGGAGUAAAAGGGCCCAACUAAAUCUGUUCCAGUGAUUCCAAUAGCUAUUUAGCUGGUACCUACUGCUAUGUCACCUCGUGUGACAAUUCGGAUUUGCUGGGACACUGACAGAUGCGUUGCAGUUGGAGGCUCCAGGUGAGAAUGGAAGGUCUCCAAUUUAUAAAGCAUCCUGCUGUGAAAAUGAAAACAACCUUGUUGUUGGUGAGGGUCCUGGAAAUUUUCACCAGCCAAGAGAGGCUUCUCUCUCACCGGGGGUAAGAUGUAACCAUAGAAUGCUAGAGCUAGAAGCCUUAGUUAUUUAAUCCAAUUGCCUCGUUUUAUAUGUUACAUAUAUUUGUAAACUGAAGCUAAGGACACAAGUGGCCUGCACAGAUAGCUUGUUAAAUAUCAGCUUUGAUGAGUACUCAAUUUUUUCCCAACUCGUGCAAUCUCUUAAAUGAGUGCCAUGUCAUGGCUUCUUAAAAACAUAGUAUUUGGUUGUUGUAAUAUGAAUAACGUAGACUGCAUUCAUUGUUGUGUCAAUAAGAGUGGGCAAGACCUUGCCAAUGCAUUUUCCUUUCUGAUACCCUGCCCUAAUCAAUGCCAAGUCCUUCCUUUGGUGGCUGUCAAGAUGAUUAGGAUCAAUAAACAUUAAGACAGGUGUGUGACAAUGUCAUUCACUAGUCUAGCCAUUAUGGCAUUUGGUAAAUCACAUAGCCUAGGCAUCCUAACCCUCGUAGUAAUAGCCACAAAUUUAUCAUUUCUUAACCAGGAAGACCUAGCAUGUACUUAACAGAUUUUUUUUUUUAUGUUGAUUUUAAAACAAAAAAAGUCACUGCUUUGGAGAGGAAGAAUUUUUUCCUGAAUAAAUAAAUGCUGUGGGUUGAGUUGUCCAUUGGCUGCUUAAAAAAAUAUAUAUAUAUAUGGCAGAAGAAUGAAUCAUAAAUGUCUUAACUUUUAUCAGUGUAAUAAUACUGUGUAAUCUGGCAGUUCUUUUUCCUUUGCAUCAAACAAGUUUGGAAAAUAUUUUGUGCAUAUUUAAGUUCUACAUAAAACUUAAAACCAUGCAUACUUCCAAAACAAUAUUUAGAAUAGUUAAAAAGCAAUCUUUACCUGCUGUGUGAGACAUGGAAGAAUAGAAUUUGCAAAGUGAUCCAAUCCAUUAGCUUUAAGUCUCAUACUACCAUUGGUUUAAGAAAUGAGGACGUGCCCGGCUGGUGUGGCUCAAUGCUUGAAUGUGGAACCAUGAACCAGGAGGUCAGGGCACAUGCCAGGGUUGUGGGCUUGAUCCCUAGUAGGGUGCGUGCAGGAGACAGCCAAUCAAAGAUUCUCAUCAUUGUUUCUCUCCCCCUUCCUCUCUCUCGAAUUAAUAAAAAUAUGUAUUUUUUUAAAAAGAAA